AAAUGUUGUCCUUUAAGUAUUUCUCUAGUAGGUUUACUCAAGGAGAAAGCCUCA
rnacentral:snRNA from 1 species